UACGAAGGGGGCUAGCGUUGUUCGGAAUUACUGGGCGUAAAGCGCACGUAGGCGGAUCGAUCAGUCAGGGGUGAAAUCCCAGGGCUCAACCCCGGGCCUGCAGUGGAUACGGGCUGGCUAGAGGCAGGCAGGGGAGAACGGAAUUCCUGGUGUAGCGGUGAAAUGCGUAGAUAUCAGGAGGAACACCUGUGGCGAAAGCGGCUCACUGGACCACAACUAACGCUGAUGCACGAAAGCUAGGGGAGCAAACAGG
rnacentral:rRNA from 1 species